rnacentral:rRNA from 1 species
AUUGAACGCUGGCGGCAGGCCUAACACAUGCAAGUCGAGCGGAGCGGCGGACGGGUGAGUAAUGCCUAGGAAUCUGCCUGGUAGUGGGGGAUAACGUCCGGAAACGGGCGCUAAUACCGAAUACUAUCAGAUGAGCCUAGGUCUGAUUAGCUAGUUGGUGGGGUAAAGGCCUACCAAGGCGACGAUCCGUAACUAGUCUGAGAGGAUGAUCAGUCACGUGGGAACUGAGACACGGUCCAGAAGCCUAUGGGGGGCAGCAGUGGGGAAUAUUGUACAAUGGGCGAAAGCCUGAUCCAGCCAUGCCGUGUGUGUUAAGAAGUUCUUCGGAGUGUAAAGCACUUUAAGUUGGGAGGCGUUACCAACAGAAUAAGCACCUGCUAACUUCGUGCCAGCCGCCGCGGUAAUAC